AGCGGCAAGAGCUCAAUUUGAAAGCUGGCUCCUUCGGGGCCGAAUUGUAAUUUGCAGAGGAUGCUUCGGGCGUGGCCCCCGUCUAAGUGCCCUGGAACGGGCCGUCAUAGAGGGUGAGAAUCCCGUCUGGGACGGGGUGUCCGCGUCCGUGUGAAGCUCCUUCGACGAG
rnacentral:rRNA from 1 species